AUUGAACGCUGGCGGAAUGCUUUACACAUGCAAGUCGAACGGCAGCACGGACUUCGGUCUGGUGGCGAGUGGCGAACGGGUGAGUAAUGUAUCGGAACGUGCCCAGUCGUGGGGGAUAACGUAGUGAAAAUUACGCUAAUACCGCAUACGAUCUAUGGAUGAAAGCGGGGGAUCGCAAGACCUCGCGCGAUUGGAGCGGCCGAUAUCAGAUUAGGUAGUUGGUGGGGUAAAGGCCCACCAAGCCAACGAUCUGCAGCUGGUCUGAGAGGACGACCAGCCACACGGGAACUGAGACACGGUCCAGACUCCUACGGGAGGCAGCAGUGGGGAAUUUUGGACAAUGGGCGAAAGCCUGAUCCAGCCAUUCCGCGUGCAGGAUGAAGGCCCUCGGGUUGUAAACUGCUUUUGUACAGAACGAAAAGGUUUCUACUAAUACUAGGAGCUCAUGACGGUACUGAAAGAAUAAGCACCGGCUAACUACGUGCCAGCAGCCGCCGUAA
rnacentral:rRNA from 1 species